GAUGAACGCUAGCGGCAGGCUUAACACAUGCAAGUCGAGGGGUAUAGUUCUUCGGAGCUAGAGACCGGCGCACGGGUGCGUAACGCGUAUGCAAUCUACCUUUUGCAGAGGGAUAGCCCAGAGAAAUUUGGAUUAAUACCUCAUAGUAUGUGAGAAUGGCAUCAUUUUCACAUUAAAGUCACAACGGCAAAAGAUGAGCAUGCGUCCCAUUAGCUUGUUGGUAAGGUAAUGGCUUACCAAGGCAACGAUGGGUAGGGGUCCUGAGAGGGAGAUCCCCCACACUGGUACUGGGACACGGACCAGACUCCUACGGGAGGCAGCAGUGAGGAAUAUUGGACAAUGGGCGCAAGCCUGAUCCAGCCAUGCCGCGUGCAGGAUGACGGUCCUAUGGAUUGUAAACUGCUUUUGUACAGGAAGAAACACUGGUUCGUGAACCAGCUUGACGGUACUGUAAGAAUAAGGAUCGGCUAACUCCGUGCCAGCCGCCGCGGUAAAAC
rnacentral:rRNA from 1 species